AUUGAACGCUGGCGGCAGGCCUAACACAUGCAAGUCGAACGAGUGGCGGACGGGUGAGUAAUGUCUGGGAAACUGCCCGAUGGAGGGGGAUAACUACUGGAAACGGUAGCUAAUACCGCAUACCAUCGGAUGUGCCCAGAUGGGAUUAGCUAGUAGGUGGGGUAACGGCUCACCUAGGCGACGAUCCCUAGCUGGUCUGAGAGGAUGACCAGCGACCCGGGAACGUAGACACGGUGCAGACUCCUAGGGGAGAAAGCAGUGGGGAAUAUUGCACAAUGGGCGAAAGCCUGAUGCCGUGAUGCCGCGUGGAUGAAGAAGGCAUGCGGGUUGUAAAGUACUUUCAGUGAGGAGGCGUUACUCGCAGAAGAAGCAUCGGCUAACUCCGUGCCAGCAGCCGCGGUAAUUC
rnacentral:rRNA from 1 species